GGGGAAUAUUGCGCAAUGGGGGGAACCCUGACGCAGCAACGCCGCGUGAGUGAAGAAGGUCUUCGGAUCGUAAAACUCUGUCAUCGGGGACGAAGGAAGUGACGGUACCCGAGGAGGAAGCCCCGGCUAACUACGUGCCAGCAGCCGCGGUAAUACGUAGGGGGCGAGCGUUGUCCGGAAUUACUGGGCGUAAAGGGUGCGUAGGCGGUAUGUUAAGUCAGAUGUGAAAUACCAUGGCUCAACUGUGGGGUUGCAUAUGAAACUGGCAUACUAGAGUGCAGGAGAGGGAAGUGGAAUUCCUAGUGUAGCGGUGAAAUGCGUAGAGAUUAGGAGGAACACCAGUGGCGAAGGCGGCUUCCUGGACUGUAACUGACGCUGAGGCACGAAAGCGUGGGGAGCAAAC
rnacentral:rRNA from 1 species